AGAGCGAACGCUGGCGGCAGGCCUAACACAUGCAAGUCGAGCGCCCCGCAAGGGGAGCGGCAGACGGGAGAGUAACACGUGGGAACGUACCCUUUGGUUCGGAACAACACAGGGAAACUUGUGCUAAUACCGGAUAAGCCCUUACGGGGAAAGAUUUAUCGCCAAAGGAUCGGCCCGCGUCUGAUUAGCUUGUUGGUGAGGUAACGGCUCACCAAGGCUACGAUCAGUAGCUGGUCUGAGAGGAUGAUCAGCCUCACUGGGACUGAGACACGGCCCAGACUCCUACGGGAGGCAGCAGUGGGGAAUAUUGGACAAUGGGCGCAAGCCUGAUCCAGCCAUGUCGCGUGGAUGAUGAAGGCCCUAGGGUUGUAAAGUCCUUUCGACGGGAAGAUAAUGACGGUACCCGUAGAAGAGCCCCGGCUAACUUCGUGCCAGCAGCCGC
rnacentral:rRNA from 1 species